rnacentral:piRNA from 1 species
GAGUAAGCAUCUUUGACUGAUGACAGGUC